rnacentral:lncRNA from 1 species
UGAUCUACUCACUAAUUAAUCUUUCAUUAAUGAUAGAGUCCAAGUCUAGUGGGAUUUUCUCUAGAGUCUCCGUCCAGUGAGACUCUUCAGCAGAGUCUCCAUCCAAUGGGACUCUUCACCAGAGUCCUCAUCCACUAGGACUCUUUAGAUUAGCCAUGUGAUCGGAGAAAAAAUUUUAAUGUGUGUGACCCCAUAUGUUCAAACCUAAGUUGGUAGCAUAGGAACUGAUUCCUGUAUCAAUCAGAGUAAUCAUCUAGCAAUGGUGUCCGACGU